rnacentral:rRNA from 1 species
CCUACGGGAGGCAGCAGUGGGGAAUUUUGGACAAUGGGCGCAAGCCUGAUCCAGCAAUGCCGCGUGAGUGAAGAAGGCCUUCGGGUUGUAAAGCUCUUUUGUCAGGGAAGAAACGGUUGGGGCUAAUAUCCUCGGCUAAUGACGGUACCUGAAGAAUAAGCACCGGCUAACUACGUGCCAGCAGCCGCGGUAAUACGUAGGGUGCAAGCGUUAAUCGGAAUUACUGGGCGUAAAGCGUGCGCAGGCGGUUUUGUAAGUCUGUCGUGAAAGCCCCGGGCUUAACCUGGGAAUUGCGAUGGAGACUGCAAGGCUUGAAUCUGGCAGAGGGGGGUAGAAUUCCACGUGUAGCAGUGAAAUGCGUAGAGAUGUGGAGGAACACCGAUGGCGGAGGCAGCCCCCUGGGUCAAGAUUGACGCUCAUGCACGAAAGCGUGGGGAGCAAACAGGAUUAGAUACCCUGGUAGUCCACGCCCUAAACGAUGUCUACUAGUUGUCGGGUCUUAAUUGACUUGGUAACGCAGCUAACGCGUGAAGUAGACCGCCUGGGGAGUACGGUCGCAAGAUUAAAACUUAAAUGAAUUGACGG